GAUUAAGUUAUUAAGGGCGCACGGUGGAUGCCUUGGCACUAGAAGCCGAUGAAGGACGUUACUAACGACGAUAUGCUUUGGGGAGCUGUAAGUAAGCUUUGAUCCAGAGAUUUCCGAAUGGGGAAACCCAGCAUGAGUUAUGUCAUGUUAUCGAUAUGUGAAUACAUAGCAUAUCAGAAGGCACACCCGGAGAACUGAAACAUCUUAGUACCCGGAGGAAGAGAAAGAAAAUUCGAUUCCCUUAGUAGCGGCGAGCGAAACGGGAAGAGCCCAAACCAACAAGCUUGCUUGUUGGGGUUGUAGGACACUCUAUACGGAGUUACAAAGGACGACAUUAGACGAAUCAUCUGGAAAGAUGAAUCAAAGAAGGUAAUAAUCCUGUAGUCGAAAAUGUUGUCUCUCUUGAGUGGAUCCUGAGUACGACGGAGCACGUGAAAUUCCGUCGGAAUCUGGGAGGACCAUCUCCUAAGGCUAAAUACUCUCUAGUGACCGAUAGUGAACCAGUACCGUGAGGGAAAGGUGAAAAGCACCCCGGAAGGGGAGUGAAAUAGAACCUGAAACCGUGUGCUUACAAGUAGUCAGAGCCCGUUAAUGGGUGAUGGCGUGCCUUUUGUAGAAUGAACCGGCGAGUUACGAUUUGAUGCAAGGUUAAGCAGUAAAUGUGGAGCCGUAGCGAAAGCGAGUCUGAAUAGGGCGUUUAGUAUUUGGUCGUAGACCCGAAACCAGGUGAUCUACCCUUGGUCAGGUUGAAGUUCAGGUAACACUGAAUGGAGGACCGAACCGACUUACGUUGAAAAGUGAGCGGAUGAACUGAGGGUAGCGGAGAAAUUCCAAUCGAACCUGGAGAUAGCUGGUUCUCUCCGAAAUAGCUUUAGGGCUAGCCUCAAGUGAUGAUUAUUGGAGGUAGAGCACUGUUUGGACGAGGGGCCCCUCUCGGGUUACCGAAUUCAGACAAACUCCGAAUGCCAAUUAAUUUAACUUGGGAGUCAGAACAUGGGUGAUAAGGUCCGUGUUCGAAAGGGAAACAGCCCAGACCACCAGCUAAGGUCCCAAAAUAUAUGUUAAGUGGAAAAGGAUGUGGCGUUGCCCAGACAACUAGGAUGUUGGCUUAGAAGCAGCCAUCAUUUAAAGAGUGCGUAAUAGCUCACUAGUCGAGUGACACUGCGCCGAAAAUGUACCGGGGCUAAACAUAUUACCGAAGCUGUGGAUUGUCCUUUGGACAAUGGUAGGAGAGCGUUCUAAGGGCGUUGAAGCAUGAUCGUAAGGACAUGUGGAGCGCUUAGAAGUGAGAAUGCCGGUGUGAGUAGCGAAAGACGGGUGAGAAUCCCGUCCACCGAUUGACUAAGGUUUCCAGAGGAAGGCUCGUCCGCUCUGGGUUAGUCGGGUCCUAAGCUGAGGCCGACAGGCGUAGGCGAUGGAUAACAGGUUGAUAUUCCUGUACCACCUAUAAUCGUUUUAAUCGAUGGGGGGACGCAGUAGGAUAGGCGAAGCGUGCGAUUGGAUUGCACGUCUAAGCAGUAAGGCUGAGUAUUAGGCAAAUCCGGUACUCAUUAAGGCUGAGCUGUGAUGGGGAGAAGACAUUGUGUCUUCGAGUCGUUGAUUUCACACUGCCGAGAAAAGCCUCUAGAUAGAAAAUAGGUGCCCGUACCGCAAACCGACACAGGUAGUCAAGAUGAGAAUUCUAAGGUGAGCGAGCGAACUCUCGUUAAGGAACUCGGCAAAAUGACCCCGUAACUUCGGGAGAAGGGGUGCUCUUUAGGGUUAACGCCCAGAAGAGCCGCAGUGAAUAGGCCCAAGCGACUGUUUAUCAAAAACACAGGUCUCUGCUAAACCGUAAGGUGAUGUAUAGGGGCUGACGCCUGCCCGGUGCUGGAAGGUUAAGAGGAGUGGUUAGCUUCUGCGAAGCUACGAAUCGAAGCCCCAGUAAACGGCGGCCGUAACUAUAACGGUCCUAAGGUAGCGAAAUUCCUUGUCGGGUAAGUUCCGACCCGCACGAAAGGCGUAACGAUUUGGGCACUGUCUCAAUGAGAGACUCGGUGAAAUCAUAGUACCUGUGAAGAUGCAGGUUACCCGCGACAGGACGGAAAGACCCCGUGGAGCUUUACUGUAGCCUGAUAUUGAAAUUCGGCACAGCUUGUACAGGAUAGGUAGGAGCCUUUGAAACGUGAGCGCUAGCUUACGUGGAGGCGCUGGUGGGAUACUACCCUAGCUGUGUUGGCUUUCUAACCCGCACCACUUAUCGUGGUGGGAGACAGUGUCAGGCGGGCAGUUUGACUGGGGCGGUCGCCUCCUAAAAGGUAACGGAGGCGCUCAAAGGUUCCCUCAGAAUGGUUGGAAAUCAUUCAUAGAGUGUAAAGGCAUAAGGGAGCUUGACUGCGAGACCUACAAGUCGAGCAGGGUCGAAAGACGGACUUAGUGAUCCGGUGGUUCCGCAUGGAAGGGCCAUCGCUCAACGGAUAAAAGCUACCCCGGGGAUAACAGGCUUAUCUCCCCCAAGAGUUCACAUCGACGGGGAGGUUUGGCACCUCGAUGUCGGCUCAUCGCAUCCUGGGGCUGUAGUCGGUCCCAAGGGUUGGGCUGUUCGCCCAUUAAAGCGGUACGCGAGCUGGGUUCAGAACGUCGUGAGACAGUUCGGUCCCUAUCCGUCGUGGGCGUAGGAAAUUUGAGAGGAGCUGUCCUUAGUACGAGAGGACCGGGAUGGACAUACCUCUGGUGUACCAGUUGUCGUGCCAACGGCAUAGCUGGGUAGCUAUGUGUGGACGGGAUAAGUGCUGAAAGCAUCUAAGCAUGAAGCCCCCCUCAAGAUGAGAUUUCCCAACUUCGGUUAUAAGAUCCCUCAAAGAUGAUGAGGUUAAUAGGUUCGAGGUGGAAGCAUGGUGACAUGUGGAGCUGACGAAUACUAAUCGAUCGAAGACUUAAUCAA
rnacentral:rRNA from 1 species